UUAAAGGAAUAAAACAAUUAAAAAAAGAAAUCAAUUACUCUCAAUUUUCAGAAAAACUGUCGGCUCCCUUUCUUUAAAACUCACUUUUUCUUUCUCAUCUCUAACUCAAACCUCACGUCCCUCUCUCCCUCCGCCAUUCUCCUACAAAUUCUCAAAACAGCAAAACUGGUCUCCCUAGUUCCAAAAUCGGCACCGCCUCACACCCCUCCGUCGCCGAGCAGCCCCCUGCCGCUGUCACGGCCUCUCCAUCGCCUCUGGUUCUAACGCUACACCGCCGCCGCUGCGAUCUUUUUCCAGUCAGUUGUUGUCCGCCACCGUCAGCCGCCCCUUAGCGCUACACCACAGUCCCGGAAUUAUUUUUUUUAAUAUUGGAAUUGAAAAGGAAUCAAAAGGGAAACUUCUAUCGGUAUUAAAGAUCGAAGCUUUAGGAGGAGGGCAUUAUUCAACAAAUUGCAGAAAUUCAAUUGGUGGACUACCGUGAAUGUAUAUGCCAUGGAAGAUUUCAUAAAUAACAGAGGAUAUACCUUCAAUUGGAUAGGAAUUUGCAAUUGCAGGAACGAUUUUCGCUGUGCUUCUCUUCUUAGGUUUGGAAUUAAUGGAGAAGAUUGUGGGAUUUUAAUCUCAGCCCCACGAUUUUGUCAUCCGACGGUUAGAUUGGUGCCACGUGUCAUUUAAUAAUGCAGAUUUUCAGUUGAA